UUACAAUCUUCAAAGUACCUUAUUAAUAUUAGAAUCUUCAAUGCUUACUCUAGAUUCAUAGUAUUUCUAACGUGGAUGAUUAUUCAUUGAACUAACUUCAAUACACUUAAUCUUGAUAAACAAGUUUAAUAACUAACAUUCUCCCCUCUUAAACUUGUUCCGUCCAUGUAAUGUUUUGAAUAUAAAGACAUAGGAAAAGGCUAGAAAGCCCUUGAAUGCUUAGAUGUAGGAAUAAAUUAAAUGAGGGGUAUAGUAGUAAUUGAAUAAAGAGAUAAUAAAUAUAAAUAGGAAGUAAAAAAAAAAGGAAAGAGGGAUCUGAAUUUUGAGAGAGAACAAACCGUGAGAGAGAAGGGAGGAAGAAGAAGAAGAAGAGAAAAGAGGGGAAAAUAAGGGAAAAAGAAAAGGAGUUGGAGGAAAUAAGUAAAAAGGGAUAAUCCUGAUAUUCUACCGGCGGGACGUCAGUAGGAUUUUCUUCGAUAUCAGCUUUGAGUUUUGUUGCUUUCGAGUCAGGCUUAUAGCUUGAUAGCAGGUCACUUUGUUGGACCUCAGAACCUGCUCUUUUGGUUGUAAAUUGUACCUUUUCCCUUUAUGUCUAGUUAGUGCUCCAAAACUCUGAAUUUAUAUAAACUCUUGUAUUAAGACAAUUCAAUUAUAUUAUGAAGUUGAUUUUGUUAUUAA